AUAACCACACACGAUACUUGUGGAGAACAUGCAAAAAAACACGCUCUGAUAAUUAAUAUAUGCAUUGUCUUUGAUAGUGAUUGGUACACACCAGAGACGGCCUUCUUUAGGGCCGUGCUUCAACGCCAACAGGAUAACCACACAAAGACGACGCACUCCGCGAGUCGUCCAAAUACGUCUUCACCACUCGAGCUGCAAGUGACGCACCCCUGAAGAUGCCUGCGGCAGCGCCUUGCGGACGCUCGAGAGGGGAACAUCGUUCAGCGCGCUGCCCAACCCAGAAAUCCGCACUUGGAGUAUUGACAGCCGCGUCAUCCAAGGGCGGCUUUACCGGUUGAGCUGGUAGUGGCACGCCCCUGAAGAUGACUGCGGCAGCGCCUUGCGAACGCUCGAGAAGGGAACGUUGCUCAGCACGCAGCCCGACCCAGAA